rnacentral:rRNA from 1 species
CUAGCGACUUCAGAGUUGAUCCUGGCUCAGGACGAACGCUGGCGGCGUGCCUAACACAUGCAAGUCGAACGGAGUUAAUUGCUUCGGUGAUUAACUUAGUGGCGAACGGGUGAGUAACGCGUGAGAAACCUACCUUUCAGUGGGGGACAACAGUUGGAAACGACUGCUAAUACCGCAUGAUGUAGCGAGGGGGCAUCCCUUUGCUACCAAAGCUUAAUGUGCUGAAAGAUGGUCUCGCGUCUGAUUAGCUAGUUGGCGGGGUAACGGCCCACCAAGGCGACGAUCAGUAGCCGGUCUGAGAGGAUGAACGGCCACAUUGGGACUGAGAUACGGCCCAG